rnacentral:rRNA from 1 species
GGAAUGAAUGGAUUAAUGAAGCAGUUCUUUCUUAAUUUAAUUAUUAAAAAUAAUUUUUUUAGUGAGGAAACUAGAAUAUAAAUGAGGGACGAGAAGACCCUAUUAAGCUUUAAUAUAAUUAUUUUGUUGGGGAAACAAAAGAAAUAAUUUUCUUUGAUAUAAAAUGUUGAUAAAUUUUGAUUUAUUAUUAGUAAUAAUAGAAUAAGUUACUAUAGGGAUAACAGCAUAAUUUUUUUUAAAAGUUCUUAUUUACAAUAAAGAUUAUGACCUCGAUGUUGGAUUAAAAUAAUUUUAUGACGUAGUUGUUGUUUAAAUUAGUCUGUUCGACUAUUAAAUUUUUA